rnacentral:rRNA from 1 species
CCCUUAGAUGUUCUGGGCCGCACGCGCGCUACACUGACGAAUGCAACGAGCUUAUAACCUUGGCCGAAAGGUCUGGGUAAUCUCCAAAUUUCGUCGUGAUGGGGAUAGAUUAUUGCAAUUAUUAAUCUUCAACGAGGAAUGCCUAGUAAGCGCAAGUCAUCAGCUUGCGUUGAUUACGUCCCUGCCCUUUGUACACACCGCCCGGCGCUCCUACCGAUUGAAUGGUCCGGUGAAGCGUUCGGACCGUGGCCUUUGGACGGUUCGCCGUCUGUUGGCUGCGGGAAGUUCGUUAAACCUUAUCAUUUAGAGGAAGGAGAAGUCGUAACA